GAUGAACGCUAGCGGGAGGCCUAACACAUGCAAGCCGAGCGGUAUUGUUUCUUCGGAAAUGAGAGAGCGGCGUACGGGUGCGUAACACGUGUGCAACCUGCCUUUAUCUGGGGGAUAGCCUUUCGAAAGGAAGAUCAAUACUCCUUAAUAUAUUUAACGGCAUCGUUUAAUAUUGAAAGCUCCGGCGGAUAGAGAUGGGCACGCGCAAGAUUAGCUCGUUGGUAAGGUAACUGCUCACCAAGGCGAUGUUCUUUAGGGGGCCUGAGAGGGUGAUCCCCCACACUGGUACUGAGACACGGACCAGACUGCUACGGAGGGCAGCAGUGAGGAAUAUUGGUGGAUGGGGGCAAGCCUGAACCAGCCGACCCGUGUGAAGGACGACUGCCCUAUGAGUUGUAAACUUCUUGUGUAUAGGGAAAAACCUACCCUCGAGAGGGUAGCUGAAGGUACUAAACGAAUAAGCACCGGCUAACUCCGUG
rnacentral:rRNA from 1 species